AGCCAUGCAUGCCCGCUCACCCGGGACGCGGCGGACGGCUCAGGACAACGGUUGCACCCCCCGCGGCGGUCCCUGCUAGCCGGACACCGCUGGCAACCCGGCGCCAAGACGUGCGCGCAAGGGCGGGCGCCCGCGGGCGAGCAGCGUGACGCAGCGACGGCCCGCCCGGGCUUCCGGGGCAUCACCCGGUCGGCGCGGUCGCGGCGCGCCGAGGGCCCGACGCCUGGCGGAGAAUC
rnacentral:rRNA from 1 species